rnacentral:rRNA from 1 species
GACGAACGCUGGCGGCGUGCUUAACACAUGCAAGUCGAACGGUGAAGCGCCUUCCUUUUUGGUGGGUGUGGAUGAGUGGCGAACGGGUGAGUAACACGUGAGUAACCUGCCCCCUUCUUCUGGAUAACCGCAUGAAAGUGUGGCUAAUACGGGAUAUUCUGGGUCUGUCGCAUGAUGGGUCUGGGAAAGAUAUUGUUUCGGUGGGGGAUGGGCUCGCGGCCUAUCAGCUUGUUGGUGGGGUGAUGGCCUACCAAGGCGGUGACGGGUAGCCGGCCUGAGAGGGUGGACGGUCACACUGGGACUGAGACACGGCCCAGACUCCUAUGGGAGGCAGCAGUGGGGAAUAUUGCACAAUGGGCGCAAGCCUGAUGCAGCGACGCCGCGUGAGGGAUGGAGGCCUGCGGGUUGUGAACCUCUUUCGCCAGUGAAGCAGGCCUGCCUCGUUUGUGGGUGGGUUGACGGUAGCUGGAUAAGAAGCGCCGGCUAACUACGUG